UGAUUCUGGAAAUCGACUUCGGUUUCAAUUGGAAUUGGAAUUUGUGCAAUGUUUAGCCAACCCAAAUUACCUUAAUUGUAAGUUUUUAAGCACCUCGUUCAAUUAAUUGAGUAGCUAUUAAUUUCUGACUGAAGAGUUGCAAUUCAAAAUAGUAUCUACUUGUACACAUUUUCACUGGAAUGAAAUUACACUUAUGCUGGUUUAUAGAUGUAAUUGUGCACACUGGGACUUGUGUUUUGAAUCCGACGUGUGUUGGUGGUGGGGAUAUUAUGUAACUAGAUCCUUUAUAUUAGGGGUAACAAAUCAUAGCUGAAGAACUGGUUUGAACUACAGAUUUUCUUUUUUUUUAAUGCUUUUCAAUUCUUGCCUAGAGAGGUUACUUCAAAGACAAAGCUUUUGUUAAUUUUCUUAAAUACUUGCUUUACUGGAAAGACCCAGAAUAUGCCAAGUAUCUAAAGUACCCUCAGUGUUUACACAUUAGAGCUGCUCCAAUAUGAACACUUCCAAAAGGAGCUGGUGAAUGCCCAGUGUGCGAAAUUUAUUGAUGAACAGCAGAUUCUACACUGGCAGCACUAUUCCGGAAGUGGAUGCGCCUUCUGCAAGCCUUGGCAGAGCAGCAACAGCAAAAUAACACAUCGGGAAAAUGAAAAACUGGAUACAGACGAGGCUCUGAAGAUACAUAUAUAUAUAUAUUUCUUUUGUACAGUGAAGACAAAAAAAAAAAAAAUGAAAACUCUUCCUAUCUAGCUUAUUAUGGUAGCCCUUAGAACCUUUAGUGCGCUUUUCAAUCCAGCUAACUUUUUAUUGUCAAUAGACUAUCACUGUUAAACCUGAAGUGUUCUACUUUGA